CGUGGAGGUCUGAACACCUCUCAGUGGAACUACUGGGGCCACUUAUCUCAAACAAUGAACAAGUGUUUGCUUCUGAGCCUCUUCCUAGGGACUCGGUGUCCAGGUGCUGUGUCUGGGAAUUCAGUCCAAUCCAUUGAACCCGACAUGUCUGGCACAGAAGGAAACGCUGUGACACUCAGCUGCUCCUACAGCACCAGCUAUAGCGGUGUCUCUCUACAGUGGUACCGCCAGAGCCCCAACCAAGCCCCGCAGUACAUUCUCCAGAGAGGAGCGAAGGGAAGCACCAUCAGUGACCACGCAGAUUUUGCCCUGACGAGAUUCACUUCUGAGACUAACGCCACGGCUACAGUUCUGAUCAUCAAAGACCUGGAGCUGGCAGACAGAGCUGUGUAUUAUUGUGCCUUGAAUGAAACACAGUGAGAGAGCCCCCGGAGACAGCUGCACGAAAACCUCCCACAUCCCUCACGUGCCUUCGUCCCCGUCUGUCUUGGGUGUUGAGUUUGAAAAACCUUUGAGGCAGGAGCUGUCUCUCACUGGGUGUCUGUGCAGCUCCCUGCCUGACGGGGACAGCCCAGAUCUCAGUUUUAUCCUCCUGUGCCAUCACCAUGACCAUCAAUUUCCAAUUGUGUGCUAGGAAAUACUUGGUCUCAGCAUUUUAAUCUGAUUUCGGGGUUUGAACACCAGAU